AAAAGGAGGAGGAGUAGAGAAGAGUUUGGCUUCACGAAUUUCUAGGUUAUGAGAAUAAUGUUUAGUAUGAAUGUGCAAAACUUCUCCAAGAUUUGCUAGAAUCUUCUUAUUCUCCAAACAAAAAGGUGUGCUAGCAUGAUUUCAUCACAAUUAAUAAGUUUCUGUAUGAUACAAGUAUCAUGUUUUCCCAGUUGCUUAUCAAUAUGUAUUGUUAGCUUUGUGGCAAGACACUUCUUGCAGGAUUACUACAAUUUUAUUAAGUUCUCCAUAUAUAUGUCGGUUUGACUCAUGCUUCCUUUUCGCUUGUUGGUUGUGUAUAUACCAUUUCUUUAAUUUACCUUAUGGUCAUUCCCACACGAGUCAUUAAUGGAAUGGUAGAAGGUAAUGCUUCGCCUGAUGUAUAUAUAAAUUUUAUAGUAAAAUAGCUAUUUUACUAAAGGAUUUUCUUUUUACCAAAGUUACGAUUGUUCUUAAUUUGUUAUCAUAUCAAACCUUGUUGUCAAUGUUGGUGAAGUUCAUCUAUGAUAUUGCUCUUCACAAAUCAUAUUCAUUUCAAGGCUUGAUAGAUCUUUUUAUGAUUACUUAUUAGUGUGGUGUGAACAAUCCAAAGAUUCUCAUGAAAUUUUUGAAGAAGGUUCCAUGACCAUAAUUGAGUGGCGAUCUAUUCUCAAACUCCGAUUCCAUCCAAAGGAUAUAGGAAAUGGAUGAUAGGAAGAAUCAUGUGCUGUUAUUUAAUAUAAAGAUUUUUGUAGCUAUCAUCCAUCUUUUCUUGGCAUCAAUUUUGUUGACAAAUCCAACAUCAUAAUCUUUGAAAACUAUUUGACAUGUGUGAACCAUAAUGUUUCAACUAGCGACUGAUAAGCAACAAAAUGCAUGAUUUGCCCAAAACUCAAAUGGUAUGUCAUAAUAAGCAUUAGGAGCUAUUCUGGCUCCAAUUGGCAAGACACCACUUUGUGACAUGAACAUGUAACCACCCAAAUCAAAUGAAGCAGCAUGUGACCAAACGAACUCAAGGAGGAAACAUGUGAAUCCCAACAAGAAAUAGCCAAGUGUUGCGCCCAAGACCAACAAAGCAUCCAAACCAUGGGCUUGCACUUUACCCAACCAACUGGUGCAACUUAGAGUGGAAUCCAUAUCAUUUCACUAACUCAUAUCAUGCGAUCAACAAACCCAAAGAACCCUAAUUGCCUAAGGCAUUGUAAAAAAGGUGACGAUGAUGGAUAUAAAUCAUGCCCUCUAAAAUGAUUAUCCAAUCUUAAACUUUCUUAGUGCCCCUAAGAAAUUUAUUAAUAGAAAGAAGUGGUGUAGCAUAUGCCGUACUUCCAUUCCUUCGUAUCAAAUCACUCCAAGCAGCUAAUGAGAGAAAGGUAGCUAGAGAGACCCCACAGACUUUUUCUUCGCUGCAAUCCAUCGCUUAAAUCAUUACGGUCGCUCUCGGCUCUCCUCUAGUGCUGUUCUCACCAUACCUCGAGAAGAAAUAUUAGAAUCGUGUGGGUCCCUCUAAUGGAUAAGUUUACAGCUUCCAGCAUCCAAUUACAUUUUUCCGCGUCUAAAAAGGUUCAUCACCCUCAUAGGGUAGUAAUCAAAUGAGAUAUGCUUCUAGAAAGCAAAGAAUAAAAAGGAAUAUAUGUCUUUGAUUAAUAAAAUUUCUAAUGAUAUCACUUUACUUCUUAAAUUAUUAGAUCUAACACCCAUGACAAUAACUAGAAUCCCUUUCAUAUUUUGUCAUAUUAAAGACUUGACUAUGAAAUAGUGCAGUAAAGUUGAUAAUGAUAAAUAACAAAUUAUUUAACUUUAUUUCAAAGAAAUAGUGGGUUUAAUAUGGGAUUCACUUUUGUAAAGUAGCUCUAAGGAAACUCCUUGUUGUACAUAAUGAUUUAAAGUAUACCUCAGAUUAUGGGCUAAUGUUGAGAUUGAAGAUGAUUAUUUUAUUAUAGCCAGCUAGUUUUCAUCAUCAAAAUUUUAAUUCCAUGCCUAAAUUAAUAUUGAUUUUAGUUUCAUCAUCACAAUUUUUGCGGCAUGCUCAGAUUACUUUUGAUCUCUUAAUUUGCAUAUUCUUUUAGAUGUCUCAUACCUAUCGGAAAGGAAUCAAGUUGUUGAUUAGACUUCCUUUUUGCAUUAUUAGCUGCAUUGUGGUGAGUUUCACCUUAAUAUAUUCUUUCUACAGUUUAUAUCUAAUUUAGAUGAUCGAAAGUGUUGAUAUUUAUAGUUAAUAUGUUCAAAUCAAAUAAAUUGACAUGAGAUGUACAUAUUGCCCUAUAUUUUAUUCCAUGUCUAUCUCUAUCACAUCUAUCCAAGUUGGUUAAUGGUUUUAUGUUUAAUGCCCCAUCAUGCCAAUAGAUCUAGAUCUAGAUUCUGUAUAUAUAUGAGGAUCAAAUCUUAUGUGUCAAAAUGUACAAAAAGUAGCUAAUGUUUAUAUCAUAUGCAUGGACUUUAUUUACAUUAAUUUUGCAACCAACAUUAUGGCAAAGUUAUCAUCAUUUACAAAAUAAAAUAUUAUUUUUAUAAAAAGAAAUGCAGAUUCUAAUUUUGCUUUGUAAGGCCAAA
rnacentral:lncRNA from 1 species